rnacentral:rRNA from 1 species
UACAGAGGUCCCAAGCGUUGUUCGGAUUCACUGGGCGUAAAGGGUGCGUAGGUGGCUUGGUAAGUUUGAUGUGAAAUCUCCGGGCUUAACCCGGAAACUGCCAUUGAUACUAUUUGUCUUGAAUACUGUGGAGGUCAGCGGAAUAUGUCAUGUAGCGGUGAAAUGCUUAGAUAUGACAUAGAACACCAAUUGCGAAGGCAGCUGGCUACACAAAUAUUGACACUGAGGCACGAAAGCGUGGGGAUCAAACAGG